AAGAUUAAAACUCAUUUUAAUCUAUAUCAUACAUGUAUAAAAUAUAAACCACAAGGAUCUACUUUAUAUGCUGAAAUUGAACAUAUGUUGAAAUUUAACAUGUCAUUGAAUCACAUAUCUAUUUCAUAAUUUCUUUCUUCAAAUUUGGAUCUGAAAGAGAAAAAACUUUCUCUUAGCCACGUAAGUGCCCGGCCUCUAUGGGUAUUCACUCA
rnacentral:lncRNA from 1 species